rnacentral:rRNA from 1 species
UCCGUAGGUGGAUAAUUAAGUCAGGGGUGAAAGUCUGCAGCUCAACUGUAGAAUUGCCCUUGAUACUGGUUGUCUUGAGUUAUUAUGAAGUAGUUAGAAUAUGUAGUGUAGCGGUGAAAUGCAUAGAUAUUACAUAGAAUACCAAUUGCGAAGGCAGAUUACUAAUAAUGUACUGACACUGAUGGACGAAAGCGUGGGGAGCGAACAGGAUUAGAUACCCUGGUAGUCC